CGAAGACACGGGCCUACUAAUUAGCACAGGGAAGCGGCACACUCCUGGUUUGCCAAACAAACAAACGCGCCUCAUCGAAAGGUGACAGUAUUGCACAGGGAUCGGUCUCAUCCAUGACAACAGUGAGGAUGACAACAGGAUGGAGUCUGCUCCUGCUGCCUUAUUCUUGCUGGUCGGUUGCUGUGCAACCAUGACAACAGGCCCCAGCUACAGUACCAUGAUUUUCUC